AUUGAACGCUAGCGGCAUGCUUAACACAUGCAAGUCGAACGGCAGCGCGGGGAGCUUGCUCCCUGGCGGCGAGUGGCGGACGGGUGAGUAAUGCGUAGGAAUCUACCUUAUAGUGGGGGAUAACCCGGGGAAACUCGGGCUAAUACCGCAUAAUCUCUACGGAGCAAAGCAGGGGACCUUCGGGCCUUGCGCUGUAAGAUGAGCCUACGUCGGAUUAGCUAGUUGGUGGGGUAAAGGCCUACCAAGGCGACGAUCCGUAGCUGGUCUGAGAGGACGAUCAGCCACACUGGGACUGAGACACGGCCCAGACUCCUACGGGAGGCAGCAGUGGGGAAUAUUGGACAAUGGGGGCAACCCUGAUCCAGCAAUGCCGCGUGUGUGAAGAAGGCCUUCGGGUUGUAAAGCACUUUCAGUGGGGAAGAAAGAACCAAAAUUAAUACUUUUGGGUGUUGACGUUACCCACAGAAGAAGCACUGGCUAACUCUGUGCCAGCAGCCGCGGUAA
rnacentral:rRNA from 1 species